AUUGAACGCUGGCGGCAGGCCUAACACAUGCAAGUCGAACGAGUGGCGGACGGGUGAGUAAUGUCUGGGAAAGUGCCCGAUGGCGGGGGAUAACUACUGGAAACGGUAGCUAAUACCGCAUACCAUCGGAUGUGCCCAUAUGGGAUUAGCUAGUAGGUGGGGUAAAGGCUCACCGAGGCGACGAUCCCUAGCUGGUUUGAGAGGAUGACCAGCCAAACUGGAACUGAGACACGGCCCAGAAUCCUACGGGAGGAAGCAGUGGGGAAUAUUGGACAAGGGGCGCAAGCCUGAUGCAGCCAUGCCGCGUGUAUGAAGAAGGCCUUCGGGUUGUAAAGUACUUUCGGCGGGGAGGCGUUACCCGCAGAAGAAGCACCGGCUAACUCCGUGCCAGCAGCCGCGGUAAUUC
rnacentral:rRNA from 1 species